CAACGAUGAAGAGUUUGAUCCUGGCUCAGGAUGAACGCUAGCGGCAGGCCUAACACAUGCAAGUCGAGGGGUAACAGGGAGUGCUUGCACUCCGCUGACGACCGGCGCACGGGUGCGCACCGCGUAUGGAACCUACCUUCUACAGGGGAAUAGCCUUUGGAAACGAAGAUUAAUUCCCCAUUGUACCUUUUUGCGGCAUCGUGAAAGGGUUAAAGGCUUCGGCCGGUGGAAGAUGGCCAUGCGUCCCAUUAGCUCGAUGGUAAGGUAACGGCUUACCAUGGCUACGAUGGGUAGGGGCCCUGAGAGGGGGAUCCCCCACACUGGUACUGAGACACGGACCAGACUCCUACGGGAGGCAGCAGUGAGGAAUAUUG
rnacentral:rRNA from 1 species